rnacentral:rRNA from 1 species
AUUGAACGCUGGCGGCAUGCCUUACACAUGCAAGUCGAACGGCAGCACGGGGCAACCUGGUGGCGAGUGGCGAACGGGUGAGUAAUGCAUCGGAACGUACCUUUCAGUGGGGGAUAACGUAGCGAAAGUUACGCUAAUACCGCAUAUUCUGUGAGCAGGAAAGCAGGGGAUCGCAAGACCUUGCGCUGAUUGAGCGGCCGAUGUCAGAUUUGCUAGUUGGUGAGGUAAAGGCGCACCAAGGCGACGAUCUGUAGCGGGUCUGAGAGGAUGAUCCGCCACACUGGAACUGAGACACGGUCCAGACUCCUACUGGAGGCAGCAGUGGGGAAUUUUGGACAAUGGGGGCAACCCUGAUCCAGCCAUGCCGCGUGAGUGAAGAAGGCCUUCGGGUUGUAAAGCUCUUUCGGCCGGGAAGAAAUCGCACGGGCUAAUACCCUGUGUGGAUGACGGUACCGGAAUAAGAAGCACCGGCUAACUACGUGCCAGCCGCCGCCGUAACAC